UACGAAGGGGGCUAGCGUUGCUCGGAAUGACUGGGCGUAAAGGGCGCGUAGGCGACUCAUACAGUCAGAUGUGAAAUUCCUGGGCUUAACCUGGGGGCUGCAUUUGAUACGUGUGGGCUUGAGUGGGGAAGAGGGUCGUGGAAUUCCCAGUGUAGAGGUGAAAUUCGUAGAUAUUGGGAAGAACACCGGUGGCGAAGGCGGCGACCUGGUCCUUGACUGACGCUGAGGCGCGAAAGCGUGGGGAGCAAACAGG
rnacentral:rRNA from 1 species